rnacentral:rRNA from 1 species
UACGUAGGGUGCGAGCGUUAAUCGGAAUUACUGGGCGUAAAGCGUGCGCAGGCGGUCUGUUAAGACCGAUGUGAAAUCCCCGGGCUUAACCUGGGAACUGCAUUGGUGACUGGCAGGCUUUGAGUGUGGCAGAGGGAGGUAGAAUUCCACGUGUAGCAGUGAAAUGCGUAGAGAUGUGGAGGAACACCGAUGGCGAAGGCAGCCCCCUGGGUCAAGAUUGACGCUCACGCACGAAAGCGUGGGGAGCAAACAGG